rnacentral:piRNA from 1 species
UAAUUGUUGACCACGCUAUUUUCCCAAAUA